UACAAGUGCAGUUUUACACCAUUCAUCUUCAACAUUUGAUCAUUCGUUUUAUUUAUUUUUUUUUAUGAUUACUAUUUUUAUUGUUAUUAGAUGAUAAAAUAUAAAUAAUACUUUAUGUGUGACUAACUUUUUUUUUUAAUUUUUCAUAAAAUUUUUAAAUAAGAGGUCAAACGUUGGAUACGGAUUUUCAAUGCUGCAUUUAUU
rnacentral:pre_miRNA from 1 species